ACAGCAGCAGCCGCGGUAAUACGGAGGGUGCAAGCGUUAAUCGGAAUUACUGGGCGUAAAGCGCACGCAGGCGGUCUGACAAGUCAGAUGUGAAAUCCCCGGGCUUAACCUGGGAACUGCAUUUGAAACUGUCAGGCUGGAGUCUUGUAGAGGGGGGUGGAAUUCCAGGUGUAGCGGUGAAAUGCGUAGAGAUCUGGAGGAAUACCGGUGGCGAAGGCGGCCCCCUGGACAAAGACUGACGCUCAGGUGCGAAAGCGUGGGGAGCAAACAGGAUUAGAUACCCGUGUAGUCCCUGUCUCUUAUAC
rnacentral:rRNA from 1 species